AAUGACGCUGUCGUCGGCUGCCUUAACAUGCAAGUCGAACGGCAGCACAGCAGUAGCAAUACUGUGGGUGGCGAGUGGCGGACGGGUGAGUAAUGCAUCGGGAUCUACCCAAACGUGGGGGAUAACGUAGGGAAACUUACGCUAAUACCGCAUACGUCCCAUGGGAGAAAGCGGGGGCUCGCAAGACCUCGCGCGGUUGGACGAACCGAUGUGCGAUUAGCUAGUUGGUAGGGUAAUGGCCUACCAAGGCGACGAUCGCUAGCUGGUCUGAGAGGAUGAUCAGCCACACUGGGACUGAGACACGGCCCAGACUCCUACGGGAGGCAGCAGUGGGGAAUAUUGGACAAUGGGCGCAAGCCUGAUCCAGCAAUGCCGCGUGUGUGAAGAAGGCCUUCGGGUUGUAAAGCACUUUUAUCAGGAGCGAAAUGCCAUGGGCUAAUACCCCGUGGAGCUGACGGUACCUGAGGAAUAAGCACCGGCUAACUUCGUGCCAGCAGCCGCGGUAAUACGAAGGGUGCAAGCGUUAAUCGGAAUUACUGGGCGUAAAGGGUGCGUAGGCGGUUCGUUAAGUCUGUCGUGAAAUC
rnacentral:rRNA from 1 species